GGUAGAAGGUGGAGUUGAGCAGCUCUUCCAGCCUGCGCGGAACGUCGUUCUCCCGGUAGUACUCCAUCGCCUGCUGCUUCAGCUUCUGCAGCUCUCUAGUGGUCCCACAGCUGCGGCCGCCGCCUUCUUCCCCCAUGAUGGAGAGUGUUGGCGUGUACGGAUUCUGUGGGUGUACAGCAAAGAACAAAAUGAAGUGUGAUUCAAAGUGGGAAAUAACCGCUUCAGGCUUUGGGGAUCCCGAGAUGUGAGAGGCACAGAGAAGGUGGACAGGUCAGUCCAACGCUGUCAUGUCUCACAGUGGGUGCUGCGGUAAGGUGUGUUGCCAUCCUGCACCCCCCUCCCCCCCCGCCCUGAGGCCCCAGGUUUCUUCCCAUGCGGUCAAGAUGGCAAGUGACUCAGGCGAACCAAUGUGCAGCCACAAAGCAGCCAACAGAUAUUUAUUUAGCAUCUGUUCUAGACAUGAGAAUACAGCAGUGAAUAAAAUAAAUUCCUGUCCUUGUGGAGCUUACAUUCUUGUGUGUGUGUGAGAAAAUCUUAACAAAUAUGUCAAAUGAUAAAUAAUGCAGAGGAAAAAUAAAGGUGAAUGGGGGAUAGGGAGUGAUGGGGUUAGAACUGAAAUAAGGAGUCCAGGGAGGCCUCACUGAGAAGGGGACAUCUGAACAGCAACCUGAGGAGGUGAGUGAUCAAGCCAUGUGGAUAUGUGGGGCAGGAGCAUCCUGGGCAGAGGAACAGUGAGAGCAAAGGUCCUGAGGUAGGUGUUGCCUUGCAUGUUAGAGGUCCAGAAAGGAGUCCACAUAGCUGGGAAAUGAGGCCAGAGAGAGCCUCGUAGGCCACAGUCUAGGAUUCCAGCUUGUCCUCUGAGACAGGAAGUGAGAGUCUUAAGUGGCAGAAUGGCAUGGUCUAACUUACAUUUUUAAAGGAGCUCCAUGGCCAUGUUGAGAAGAGAUUUUGAUGGGGAGUGAGGUAGGCAGGGAGACCAGUUAGGAAGCUGUUGUGCGGUACAGAUGGGAGACAGUGCGGAUUUAGAUUAGGGCGAAGGGUGGAGGUGGUGAGAAGCGAGCAGAUGUUGGAGUGGGAGGCUCCAGGGAUUCUGGCACCUGGAUGUGGGAUGUAAAAGAGAAAAGUAAGAAAGAUACUGGCAUCUUUGGCUCUAGCAACUGGAAGGAUGAAGUUACCAGUUACUAAGGUGCAGAUGGCUGGAGAAGGGGGAGGGGAGGGGGCCUGUUUAUCAGAGUACCCAUUACACGUGCAAGUGGAAGUGGGGGGGCUUGGACUAGAAAUAUCGCAUGGGAGUCAUCAGCACAUUGGUGAUGUUUAAAGCCGAAAAACUGGAAGAGACUCCCUCAAGGAGAGAGUGUCGACGGAAAAGAGAUGUCUGCGGACUAAAGCCUCAGUCGCUCCCACAUUUAGAGCUCGUGGAGAAGAGAAGCAAGAAAUGGAAAAGUCUGAGAUGCUGUGCCAGUGAAGGAAGAGGAAAAGCACAGGCUCUGGAAGUCAAAUGAGAAGGUUUUUCCUGGAGGAGGGGAGUCUGCUACGGCGAGAGGUGCUGAAUGGCCAUGGCUGAUGAGCACUGAGAACUGACACGUAUUCAUGCUCUUUGUGGCCACAGCAGUGGCGGAAACACGGGCGGGUUUCACUCCUGAGUCAUCUCACAGGUCGGGUGCAACCCGCAUCCCUCCCCAGGUGAUCACAGCAACUGUUCUCUGCACUAGUCUCCAACUCCACCAUGGUCCUCCCAUCUCCAUCGUGGUCCCUAAAAUGACAAAACGAGUCUCUUCUUUGAUAUUUCUGUGUCGACAAGGGUCUUCCUAAGAUGUUUGUCAAAAUUCAGAAACUGUAUUGGUUUUCCUUGGUUUUCUGCAUUUUGCUAAUUAAUAGAUAUUUGUUUAAUUUUAAUGCAACUGAUCCAAUACAACCUAUUUCUACCACUUAACCACAUAUUAAUUAUUUCUAAACGUGUUUGAUCACAUACAAAUUCCCUCAGGAGGUACAUUUCUAAUACACAUAUUAUUUAAUAUAAUGAUUUCCCUCAUGUUGUCACUGUUCUCUGGAUCAUUCCUACCCAUCCUGGGUAACAUGUGAUGGAGAUCAGUUCUGCCCUGUGUGAUGGAGAUCAGUUCUGCCCUGUGUGCUGGGGAUGGGAGUGUGGCGGAUCUGGGAAGAAGUGGAGCCAUAUAUGUAAGAGGAGUUUGGAGGGUCCCCAGGUGGCUGAUGGACAUUUGAUCGUGGAAAGGAUGGCAAAAGGAGAAUCUUGAAGCUGGGAAAAUGCAAGUGAGUUUGGAACCAGUGAAUAACCACUGUGGGAGGAAUAUAGAUUCAUGGGACGCAGGGUUUGGGCUGCCCAAGGUAGAGCUCUCUGUGAAGAACAGGAAAAGUCAGGAGUCCCCGAAUCAGGGGGGUCCUUUCUGUGGAUCUGUCCCAGAGGGCGGUGAACUCUGGAGACACCCAGAGAGAUAAGAGGUGAGAGCACCCAGGCAGUGAGGGCUGCGAAGGGUUAAGAGACCAGGGCAAGGUACAGACCCAGGAGGGGUUGCUGGCAGGUGUGACUGUCCCUCCAGGAGGCACACUGGGUCAUGGUGGGGUGACCUCUCCACCAUUUGCUCUCCAUUAUUUUUCUUUGUGUUUAAUUUCUAUCUUAUUAAAAUAAAUUUUCAUGUUCACACUCACCAAUUGAACAGAACCAUGAUUUACAGAUCACGUAUUGCCACAUUCCCUGCUCUAACAUUUCCCAUCUCUGACAGCUGCAGUUU